rnacentral:rRNA from 1 species
GGGAUUGCCUCAGUAACGGCGAGUGAAGCGGCAACAGCUCAAAUUUGAAAUCUGGCCCUUUCGGGGUCCGAGUUGUAAUUUGUAGAGAGUGCUUCGGGGGAGGCGGCGGUCUAAGUCCAUUGGAACAUGGCGUCAUAGAGGGUGAGAAUCCCGUAUGCGACCGUGGCUCGAACCCAUGUGAAGCCUCUUCGACGAGUCGAGUUGUUUGGGAAUGCAGCUCAAAAUGGGUGGUAAAUUUCAUCUAAAGCUAAAUACCGGCUGGAGACCGAUAGCGCACAAGUAGAGUGAUCGAAAGAUGAAAAGCACUUUGGAAAGAGAGUCAAACAGUACGUGAAAUUGUUGAAAGGGAAGCGCUUGCAACCAGACCUGCCCGCAGGCGAUCAGCCGCUGUUCUCAGCGGUGCACUCGCCCUGCGAUCAGGCCAGCAUCGGUUUCGGCGGUCGGAUAAAGGCCUUGGGAAUGUAGCUCCCCUUCGGGGGAGCCUUAUAGCCCUCGGUGCAAUGCGGCCAGCCGAGACCGAGGACCGCGCUUCGGCUAGGAUGCUGGCGUAAUGGUUGUAAGCGACCCGUCUUGAAACACGGACCAAGGAGUCUAACAUCUAUGCGAGUGUUUGGGUGUCAAACCCAUGCGCGGAAUGAAAGUGAACGGAGGUGAGAACCCCGAAGGGCGCAUCAUCGACCGAUCCAGAUGUCUUCGGAUGGAUUUGAGUAUGAGCAUAGCUGUUGGGACCCGAAAGAUGGUGAACUAUGCCUGAAUAGGGUGAAGCCAGAGGAAACUCUGGUGGAGGCUCGCAGCGGUUCUGACGUGCAAAUCGAUCGUCAAAUUUGGGUAUAGGGGCGAAAGACUA